CCGGGCGUAGACAAACAGGCAAAGUCAAAGGUCUUAAACACCUAAAUUUGCGGGUUCGAAUCCCGCCGCCCGGACCA
rnacentral:tRNA from 1 species